rnacentral:lncRNA from 1 species
CACCAAAGCCAUUUCCUUGAGAGGAUUUUAUCUGGUUUGUCUCCUUGACUCCAGGCAGGGCUCCAUUCCAACCAGAUGGAAGGAUGCAGACAUCUCACAUCAUUUACACCCAGAAGGCUGUCAGCAGCAGCGCUCAGGGAGUGAGAGUGUUUAAUCUCGAGGAGGAAAUAGAAUGUAUACACACCCUGCAAACUGAGAUGUUUUACGUUGGCUCUGGCUCCUACCGCCCCCCAUGUGUGGCAGCAGCUACCAAGACUCUACUGUGAAUCCCCAUGACUGGAAUGAGAAUGAACAAAAUGAACAACCUGCAGCAACAUGAAUGGACCUCACAAGGAUAAUGUUGAACAUAAGAAGCCAGGCACA